rnacentral:rRNA from 1 species
AGGACGAACGCUGGCGGCGUGCUUAACACAUGCAAGUCGAGCGGAAAGGCCCUUCGGGGUACUCGAGCGGCGAACGGGUGAGUAACACGUGAGCAACCUGCCCUUAGCUCCGGGAUAGCUCCGGGAAACCGGAAUUAAAUACCGGAUAUGACCUAGGCCGACAUCGGCCGUGGUGGAAAGUUUUUCGGCUAGGGAUGGACUCGCGGCCUAUCAGCUAGUUGGUGGGGUAAUGGCCUACCAAGGCGACGACGGGUAG